rnacentral:rRNA from 1 species
AUCGAUGAAGAACGCAGCGAAAUGCGAUAAGUAAUGUGAAUUGCAGAAUUCAGUGAAUCAUCGAAUCUUUGAACGCACCUUGCGCCACGUGGUAUUCCACGGGGCACGCCUGUUUGAGUGUCACGUAAACCCAUCGCGUCGCGGAUUGUCAUGAUCUGCGGGGCGGAUUUGGACGCUGCCGUAGUUGGCUCGUCUCGAAAUGCAUUAGCCAGUCCGAGGACGCGCGCCACUGGUGUGAUAAUUCACUUUGCGCCGCUGGUGUGUCCGACGAAGGCUCAUAAUCGCCCGCAAGGGCAACAUUUUUAAUGCUCUGGCCUCAAAUCAGGUGGGACUACCCGCUGAACUUAAGCAUAUCAAUAAGCGGAGGAAAAGAAACUAACAAGGAUUCCCCUAGUAACGGCGAGUGAAGAGGGAAAAGCUCAAAUUUGUAAUCUGGCGGUCUCUGGCUGUCCGAGUUGUAAUUUGGAGAGGCGUUUUCCGUGUCGGACCACGUACAAGUCCCCUGGAACGGGGCGUCGUAGAGGGUGAGAAUCCCGUUCACGACGUGGACUGCCGAUGCUAUGUGAUGCGCCCUCGAAGAGUCGAGUUGUUUGGGAAUGCAGCUCUAAAUGGGUGGUGUACUUCAUCUAAAGCUAAAUAUUGGCCAGAGACCGAUAGCGCACAAGUAGAGUGAUCGAAAGAUGAAAAGCACUUUGGAAAGAGAGUUAAACAGUACGUGAAAUUGUUGAAAGGGAAGCGCUUGCAAUCAGACUUGCACUGCGUCGAUCAACCUGGGUUCUCCCUGGUGCACUCGGCGCUGUUCAGGCCAGCAUCAGUUUCGGCGGUUGGAUAAAGGCCUAGGGAACGUGGGUUGCCUCGGCGACCGUUAUAGCCCUAGGUGCAAUGCAGCCUGCUGGGACUGAGGACCGCGCUUCGGCUAGGAUGCUGGCGUAAUGGUUGUAAGCGACCCGUCUUGAAACACGG